AAAAGAUUUAAUUUGAAAUUAUCUCGAUUUUUUUUUUUUUAAUAGUAAUCUUAAUAGUAUUGGAAACAAAGUCUGUAGUAAAAGUAAAUUGUUUUUAAACGUUUGACCUAUAGGAUUAAAUGAGACAAAAAGUGUAAAGGUAAAAUCGUUUAAAUCAAACCUCUAAUAACCAGUAAGCCUGCAUAAUAAUUAAACCACAGGUCAUUUUGUGUGUGUGUGAGGCUGUAACAAGUGAAGUGGCAUUCAAGUCUCGGGCUAAAUCUGUCAAAUCAAGAUAAACCUGACAAUUAGGGGGAGAAAAUAACUUCUCAGAGCCACUUCAGACACCAAUAAAUAAUAACCCACCCCAAAAAAAAUAGACGCCAAUUUUUUUUUUUUUUUAAACCGAAACGACUGCCAGAGGAGCUGAUAAUAAACCAGUUUUUUCAUUGUUACAACUGAAAUGAGUAGCUAAUUGCAGGGGAAGUGAGCUUUUUUUCUCUGGAAGCGCCCGCAGCUGCACGCACUUGAGCAGCAGCGCGCGGGCCUCACCCCGCAGGUUCCACUGCUGCUGCGCGCGGGGCUCCAUUGUGCGCGAGAGGAGAGCAGGUCUGCAGAGCUCUCCGGCUGAUUGUGCGUAAUUGCGCAUUGACGCAGGCGUCAAUACUAACAGCCACUUCAAGUCUUUCUCCUUGCGUCUGUCUUCUCCUUUUCUACCUGUUUCUGAUCGGGAGGUCAUUGAACGCAUCGGACACGCGGACAGCUGCCACGCAAACACUCUUUGUGACGCAGGAGAAGACUCCCUGGUUUACCCUCCUAGUGAGAGAUGAACUGAAGAGAUGUAAAACUGCAGUGUAAUAAUACCAAAUGACUAAGUGCUGUGGUGUCAAAAUAGCAGUUGGACGCUCAUGAAGAAGGUUGGGAAGAACAUCAGCCAGAAACAAAGUCUGUGACUUUUCCCUGAAAGGUCAUCUUUCACCACCUGCAAUCACUCGUUACUGACACACACACACUGCAAAGUCACACACACUCCGACACAAUUCCGUCUUCUGUGUAUUGCAGGAGGUGUCUUUGCAUUCAAAUCACCUGUCUGACUCCUCGUCUGACUACUUUCUUACAGAUUUUUAAUAAAAAUCUAGGAAGAAUCACUGAGUCCAUCAUUCAACCCAAUCACUGAGAUACUGGUUUGGAUGAUGAUGGUGAUGUGACUGUGGCUGUAAACCCAAAAGAAACUUGGAAUUGUAGAUAUGAAAUAAAGCAUGAUUCUGUGUGUGAA